UCUGCUGAGAGAGGCCAACUUGAACUGCUGCCUGAAUGCUGCAGAAACAAACUGGCCAAGCUGGCAUCUGCUGAACUAUUGUUCCCAGAUUCUUUAUGAGAUGGCAAAAGUGAGAUUCCAACACAAGAGAGGAACCACUGAGAGCAGCACAAAGCUGGUGGGAGGCAGUGCUUGGAGAAAGCCCAGGACCAGAGCAGCAGACCCAGGAAGGAGAAAGCUGCAGACAGCCCAGAGAGCAGAGCCAGAUGCAGUCUGUGUGGCAGCGUCGUGCAUCUCCACAAGAACUGAACGGGGUCAGUGACUGACAUCUGAGACACAGCAGAGCAGUGCUUGGAAGCACAGGGUCUCUCUCCUCGGUGCUGCCUUUCCUUCACUGCCUCAUCUCAUGAUCAUGGUUACAUCCAGAAGCUACCAGAAACAUCUUCCCCAAAACCACCAUUUUUGUACCUGUUUCCAUCAGCACUCCCCUGGAUUUCAGAAAGGCUGCUGAAAAAUGAAAGAAAACCACUGGAAAUUAUUAUCCUUCAUGGUCUGGGGGUGCAGU